rnacentral:rRNA from 1 species
GAUGAACGCUGGCGGCGUGCCUAAUACAUGCAAGUCGAGCGAACGGACGAGAAGCUUGCUUCUCUGAUGUUAGCGGCGGACGGGUGAGUAACACGUGGAUAACCUACCUAUAAGACUGGGAUAACUUCGGGAAACCGGAGCUAAUACCGGAUAAUAUUUUGAACCGCAUGGUUCAACAGUAAAAGACGGUCUUGCUGUCACUUAUAGAUGGAUCCGCGCUGCAUUAGCUAGUUGGUAAGGUAACGGCUUACCAAGGCAACGAUGCAUAGCCGACCUGAGAGGGUGAUCGGCCACACUGGAACUGAGACACGGUCCAGACUCCUACGGGAGGCAGCAGUAGGGAAUCUUCCGCAAUGGGCGAAAGCCUGACGGAGCAACGCCGCGUGAGUGAAGAAGGUCUUCGGAUCGUAAAACUCUGUUAUUAGGGAAGAACAAAUGUGUAAGUAACUAUGCACAUCUUGACGGUACCUAAUCAGAAAGCCACGGCUAACUACGUG